rnacentral:tRNA from 1 species
GGAGAGGUGCCCGAGCGGCUUAAGGGGGCGGUCUCGAAAACCGCUGUCUGCCUCUGGUGGACCCUGGGUUCAAAUCCCAGCCUCUCCG